UCCCUUUCAUGUAUACAUAUAACUUAUUAUUUCUGUCCCUGUGGAGAAGUGUGACUAAUACAUCUGGGUUGAUAGGCUUUGUUUUUUAUUUUAUUUUUUCCUUAUUUUCUUUUUGGGUUGAUAGUUUUUUUUUUUUUCUUUUGGUACUUAAAACAUAUUCUAUUGUCUUCUGAUUUUCAUUGUUUCUAGUGAUAAAUCAGCUAUCAUUCUUAUUCUUCUCCAGUAUAUACUUUCUCUCUUUUCCCUGGUUGCUUUUUGUUUUUUGUUUCUUUUUUUCCUGGUUGCUUUUUUUUUUGGAUAUGGAGUUUCGCUCUUGUUGCAGAGAGCCGAGAUCACACCACUGCACUCCAGCCUGGGUGACAGAGCGAGACACCAUCUUAA
rnacentral:sRNA from 1 species